AUGGAGUGGACACCCGACCAGCAGGCUCUCGGGGGCCUCGGCCUCUCCGCUCCGCCGCCAUCCCGCGCCCUCUGCUCCCGCGUCCUCUCCGACCUCCACGACCACGACGGCCCCGGCCUCCUCCGCCUCGUCACGGACAGGCUCGCCUUCUUCCUCUUCGCGACCGUCUCCAUCGGCCUUGUCCUCCUGCUCGUGCUCCUCUGCACCACCGCCGCCUACGUCUUCUGCGUUGCCUCCCUCUACUCCACCGGAGGCGACCUCCGCGCCGCCGAUCGCGCCCUCAGGGGGUUCCCCACGGUCCCGCUCACGCGGCUCGUCUGCACGUUGCUCGUCGCCGCGGUCCCCAUCUUCCUCGUGCUCUGCGCCUCCAUCUUCGUCGCCCCCUUGUUCCAUCCCCAGGAUCUGCUCGGCACUCCGGACAAGAUCAUGCUGCCGCUGCAGCUGCUGGGAUGGGCCGCGUGCCUCGCCGGCGCGGCCUACGUCGCCGUGGUGUGCCAGCUGGCCUGCGUGGUGUCCCUGCUCGAGGACGCCGUGCUCUUCCGCGCCCUGCGCAAGAGUCGCGCGCUCCUCGCCGGCAAGUUCUGGGCGGCAGCCGGCGUCUUCGUCACGCUCGACGGUUGCAUCUUCGCCCUGCUCGUGGCUUUCCCGGUUCUGGUCGUGGACGAUUCGCUGGGCCUCGGCCUCGGGUUCCAGCUGGCCGCCGGGGUGGCGAUGGCGGUGGCUCUGUGCGCGGUGGUGCUCUUGACGCUGGUGGCGCAGCCGGUGUGCAAGAACCACCACCACGAGGUCAUCGACAAGGUCCACCUCGACUGA
rnacentral:rRNA from 1 species